rnacentral:rRNA from 1 species
UACGUAGGGGGCAAGCGUUGUCCGGAUUUAUUGGGCGUAAAGAGCGUGUAGGCGGCCAGAUACGUCGGCUGUGAAAACCUGGGGCUCAACCCCGGGCCUGCAGCCGAUACGGGCAGACUAGAAUUCGGUAGGGGAGACUGGAAUUCCUGGUGUAGCGGUGGAAUGCGCAGAUAUCAGGAGGAACACCGGUGGCGAAGGCGGGUCUCUGGGCCGACAUUGACGCUGAGGAGCGAAAGCGUGGGGAGCGAACAGG